AGUGUAACCUUUGUUGCUUAGAUGCACUUUAAAUUUGGCUCUAUUUAAACCAGCCAAGUUCAUCGCCAAGGUGUGCUACCUAGAAGGAUGCCGUGACCUACGAGGGAAAUUAUUAUGAAGACAAUGUUAAAUGAUAGGAAUGCAAGGCAUCAGAGUAUAUUUUCCAGCUGAACAGUUCCUCUCGACGGGCGUGAUGCUACUUGGGCUGCAUGCGUCCUUGAACAUCCCAUAGUGUAGAAGUCUAAUCCAAUAAAUCAUAUAUAAUCAUACUACCACAUGAAAUAU
rnacentral:lncRNA from 1 species